rnacentral:rRNA from 1 species
CCCUUAGAUGUUCUGGGCCGCACACGCGCUACACUGAAGGAGGCAGCGUGUACUCCUGGAUCGAAAGAUUUGGGUAACCCGCGAAUCUCCUUCGUGCUAGGGAUUGAGGUUUGCAAAUAUCCUUCAUGAACGAGGAAUUCCCAGUAAGUGCAAGUCAUAAGCUUGCGCUGACUACGUCCCUGCCCUUUGUACACACCGCCCGUCGCUACUACCGAUUGAAUGAUUUAGUGAGGACUUCGGACUGGGACCGAUGCGGCUUUCGGGCUGCGUCGGUAUUCUGGAAAGAUGUCCAAACUGUAUCAUUUAGAGGAAGUAAAAGUCGUANCA